rnacentral:tRNA from 1 species
GAGGGUAUAGCUCAGUGGUAAAGCACAUGCUUAGCAAGCACGAGGUCCUGGGUUCAGUUUCCGGUACCUCCA